rnacentral:rRNA from 1 species
UAUGCACGCUGGCGGCGUGCUUAACACAUGCAAGUCGAGCGAGAAGUUUUGAAAAGAUUCUUCGGAUGAAAUUUAAAAUGGAAAGCGGCGGACGGGUGAGUAACGCGUAGGCAACCUGCCCCAUACAAAGGGAUAGCAUUUGGAAACGAAUAUUAAUACCUUAUGAAACUUAACUAGUGCAUGCUAGGUAGGUCAAAGAUUUAUCGGUAUGGGAUGGGCCUGCGUCUGAUUAGCUAGUUGGUGAGGUAACGGCUCACCAAGGCGACGAUCAGUAGCCGACCUGAGAAGGUGAACGGCCACAUUGGAACUGAGACACGGUCCAAACUCCUACGGGAGGCAGCAGAGGGGAAUAUUGCACAAGGGGGGAAACCCUGAUGCAGCAACGGCGCGUGAACGAUGAAGGCCUUUGGGUCGUAAAGUUCUGUUCUAGGUGAUGAAAACUGACAGUAACCGAGGAGAAAGCCCCGGCUAACUCCGUG